GACGAACGCUGGCGGCGUGCUUAACACAUGCAAGUCGAACGGUGAAGCCCCAGCUUGCUGGAGUGGAUCAGUGGCGAACGGGUGAGUAACACGUGAGCAACCUGCCCCUGACUCUGGAAUAAGCGCUGGAAACGGCGUCUAAUACUGGAUACGAGAAGGGUCCGCAUGGGCACUUUCUGGAAAGUUUUUCGGUUGGGGAUGGGCUCGCGGCCUAUCAGCUUGUUGGUGAGGUAAUGGCUCACCAAGGCGACGACGGGUAGCCGGCCUGAGAGGGCGACCGGCCACCCUGGGACUGAGACACGGCCCAGACUCCUACGGGAGGCAGCAGUGGGGAAUAUUGCACAAUGGGCGAAAGCCUGAUGCAGCGACGCCGCGUGAGGGAUGACGGCCUUCGGGUUGUAAACCUCUUUCAGCAGGGAAGAAGCGAAAGUGACGGUACCUGCAGAAGGAGCACCGGCUAACUACGUG
rnacentral:rRNA from 1 species